ACGCUACGUUCAGAGUUUGAUCCUGGCUCAGGAUGAACGCUGGCGGCGUGCUUAACACAUGCAAGUCGAGCGAGGGAGCACCUUCGGGUGUGAACUAGCGGCGGACGGGUGAGUAACACGUGGGCAACCUGCCUUACAGAGGGGGAUAGCCUUCCGAAAGGAAGAUUAAUACCGCAUAUUAUGAUUUUUCUGCAUGGGAAAGUCAUGAAAGGAGCAAUCCGCUGUAAGAUGGGCCCGCGGCGCACUAGCUAGUUGGUGAGGUAAGGGCUCACCAAGGCGACGAUGCGUAGCCGACCUGAGAGGGUGAUCGGCCACAUUGGGACUGAGACACGGCCCAG
rnacentral:rRNA from 1 species